rnacentral:rRNA from 1 species
ACUAAUACCGCAUAUACUCUUGCUACACAAGUAGAGUAGAGGAAAGGAGCAAUCCGCUUUACGAUGAGCCUGCGGUCUAUUAGCCUGUUGGUGGGGUAACGGCCUACCAAAGCUACGAUAGGUAGCCGACCUGAGAGGGUGACCGGCCACAUUGGGACUGAGAUACGGCCCAGACUCCUACGGGAGGCAGCAGCUGAGAAUCUUCCACAAUGGACGAAAGUCUGAUGGAGCGACAUCGCGUGAGGGAUGAAGGCCUUCGGGUUGUAAACCUCGGAAAUUAUCGAAGAAUGAGUGACAGUAGAUAAUGUAAGCCUCGGCUAACUACGUGCCAGCAGCCGCGGUAAUACGUAGGAGGCAAACGUUGCUCGGAUUUACUGGGCGUAAAGGGUGAGUAGGCGGACUUAUAAGUCUAAGGUGAAAGACCGAAGCUCAACUUCGGGAACGCCUCGGAUACUGUGAGUCUUGGAUAUUGUAGGGGAUGAUGGAAUUCUCGGUGUAGCGGUGGAAUGCGCAGAUAUCGAGAGGAACACCUAUAGCGAAGGCAGUCAUCUGGGCAUUUAUCGACGCUGAAUCACGAAAGCUAGGGGAGCAAACAGGCUUAGAUACCCUGGUAGUCCUAGCCGUAAACGUUGUACACUAGGUGCUUCUAUCUAAAUAGGAGUGCCGUAGCUAACGUCUUAAGUGUACCGCCUGAGGAGUAUGCCCGCAAGGGUGAAACUCAAAGAAAUUGACGGGUCCCCGCACAAGUGGUGGAGCAUGUGGUUUAAUUCGAUGAUACGCGAAAAACCUUACCUGGGUUUGAAUUGUAAGAUCAAUGAUUUAGAGAUAAGUCAGACCGCAAGGAGAUUUUACAUAGGUGCUGCAUGCCUGUCGUCAGCUCGUGUCGUGAGAUGUUGGGUUAAGUCCCGCAACGAGCGCAACCCUCACCCUUUGUUGCUACCGAGUAAUGUCGGGCACUCUUAGGGGACUGCCUACGUUCAAGUAGGAGGAAGGUGGGGAUGAUGUCAAGUCCUCAUGGCCCUUAUGUCCAGGGCUACACACGUGCUACAAUGGCAAGUACAAAGAGAUGCGAGACCGCGAGGUGGAGCGAAACUCAAAAAAGUUGCCUCAGUUCGGAUUGGAGUCUGAAACUCGACUCCAUGAAGUUGGAAUCACUAGUAAUCGUAGAUCAGAACGCUACGGUGAAUACGUUCCCGGGGAUUGUACACACC